GUCUUUGGCCAUACCACCCUGAAUACACCCAAUCUCAUCUGAUCAUGGAAGUGAAGCAGGAUCCGGCCUGGCAAGUACUUGGAUGGGAGACCACCUGGGAAUACUGGCGCUACAGGCU
ensembl:rRNA 5S_rRNA 5S ribosomal RNA